rnacentral:rRNA from 1 species
UACGGGGGGGGCAAGCGUUGUUCGGAAUUACUGGGCGUAAAGGGCUCGUAGGCGGCCAACUAAGUCAGACGUGAAAUCCCUCGGCUUAACCGGGGAACUGCAUCUGAUACUGGAUGGCUUGAGAUUGGGAGAGGGAUGCGGAAUUCCAGGUGUAGCGGUGAAAUGCGUAGAUAUCUGGAGGAACACCGGUGGCGAAGGCGGCAUCCUGGACCGACACUGACGCUGAGGCGCGAAAGCUAGGGUAGCAAACGGG